UUGAUCUCAUUCAUCUGACAGCAAAAACAAAAACAAAAACAAAAAACCACUAUUUAAUUGUUUCUAACACAUGUUCAAGGCACUGUGUCACAACUGUUGUAUCUUAUUUUGUUUCAUUUUAGCCACGACCUUACAAGGACCUCAAGUCAACCUUUCAUUGCAUUUCUCAAAAGGCAUUUUAGUAUCUUGUCUGCAAUUGGUACUAUGCUAUUUGUAUGGAAUACAAAUUGGUGAGUAUUGAGCCUAUAACAACCCCAUCCUUUUCUCCCACAUUCAUAGAAGAAAACUUACCUAUUCCAGAAACAGAACAAACUGUUUACGGCUAUUGUCUUUCUCUGGUCUGCUAUGGAUGAAGCUUCUGGCAAUAUGAAUCACUCUGCUUUUGAGAAGAUACAGUGAGCAUAUACAUAUCUUCCUAAAUCCUUACAUCUUAUUUUAAAAGACUGUUAACAUUCUUGGUUGUCAUCAUAGCAAAGCUUUAAGAUUUCUUCUGUUUUCAUAAUCAAAAUGCCUCAUGAAGCACUUGAGUGAAUGACGGGAUUUCCCAAAGACAAGUUCAGGCACUUCUGAUAAUACUCCCAGAAUAGAGAUGUUGGAACCAAUGAGUGGAAAGAAUCCUGGAGCUGCAUUUGGAAGAUACAGACUAAAACUGAUCUGGAAUGCUUCCAGACUGCAUGACCUUAUGCAGAUCAUUUAACCCUAAUGAUUCCCAACGUCUUUGGAGAUGGUAGUUCCUGCCCCAGUUAGCCAUCAAAAGACACAGUGAGCACAGAAGAGUUACUCUUUGGAGGCACAUUUUUUCACUUUUGAAAAGAACAGUGCAAAUGGGUAUGUUUGUUCCCCUUCCUCCUGUCACUUGUCUCCACCCCUCUCUGCAAGGUGCCCGGAAAGCACCAGCACUGCUGACCCAGCUCUGUGGGAACAGAAGAUUCCAAGUGGCUGAGCAGGUCACCCGGUGCAGACAGGUGGAGGACAGUGAUUGGCCUGGGAUAAAGGAACCAAAGAAGACAAUAGGCUGAAAGAAUCAGAAAAGCAAGUGGGAGUCUCUGGUAGCAAACAUAAGAACCCAACUCUACAAUCUAAGGAAAAAAUAAAACUUGUGGAAGGUCACGGGGGUGACUCAUGGGAAUGAAAGGAGCCUUUUGGUCAUUGUAAUUUCAAAUCAUGAUGGCUCAGAAGCUGUCCUUAAGAAUAAGAAUAAACUGAAGAACUUUUUACCUCCUCCACGGAUAGUAUCGG